UUGUGUACGGGGCACGGGAAGCAAAUAUCAUUUUAAAAAUUCCCAAUGACAAUGUAGACAUCUGUAAACCAAUUUUUUAGCUUCCCAGGAAAACGAAUAACCUUCCACUCAUUGGGAUAUGGGACAUCAUGACUUUGACGAUGUCGUACUUCAACAACGAGGUCAUAAACACAUGAAUACACGAUGCCUUAGGUAUAUGUAUAUAUACAUAUAGUGGAGAUAUGAGAUUGUAAUACUACAAUGUCGUCCUCAAAGGGCCUCUUCCGGCUCGGCAAGUGACCAGGGGCCCGUUGAGCAGCACCGUCGAAAAACGGCCAUUUAUCUAAGCAUCAACAACUAUGGCAGUCAGAGGAGUUUGGACGCGAAAUUCCAGGUGAAUGUGUCAUGCAGUCUGGGUGCAAGUUUUGACAUCCAUACGCGAAACCAGCUGUUCUUGUGCUUCUCAUAACCGCCUUCCUGGGAUUGCACACAUGAAGAUGUAUCAUAAUCUGAUUACAUAGACUUAAUUGUUUCUACGCCCGCGCACUGAUGGGUCCACCUCGCGUCCUUUCAAGCGCUUUCAGCGUUCCCGCAUUCAUGCCGCAGGGGCACUGGAGAAAUCGUCGCCAUAAUAUAACUUAUGCACAUGUCUGAAAUCAGUUUUCUAUGGUAGGGUACAUGCGGUGUUUUCCUGCGGACAAGGCCCCUACUACCUCAUGCAGCCAGGUUCUGCACCCGACGCGGGAAACACCGAAGCAGCAAGCGAACAGAAAGCUUCUCUAGCCGAUGAUCAUGACGUCGUUCCUGGUAGUGCUGAUGGAAGUGAAGCGGCCGGCGAGAACGCGAGCGAUGGGCCGCAGCAGCCGUCUCUCCAAGAGCAGCGCUCACAGACAAGCCGUACACACUCUGGGCGUAACAAAAGGCGUGGUUGGAGUGCGGUUGAACUAUGCACCUUAGCUUUGCUACACGCGGUUCAUGGAAAUAAAUGGUGAGAUAUGUAAACACGAUAACUGCCGUCGGGUGAAAUGCUAUAUGCACUUAAGUCCCAACCCAUACGUGGACUCAAUCCUUUGCAUUUUUUUGUGAAG
rnacentral:lncRNA from 1 species